AGAGUUUGAUCAUGGCUCAGGAUGAACGCUAGCUACAGGCUUAACACAUGCAAGUCGAGCGGUAUGUGCUUUAGUGCAUACAGCGGCAGACGGGUGAGUAACACGUAUCUAACCUUCCCCUUACUUGGGCAUAGCCUCUGGAAACGGAGAUUAAUUUCCGAUGUGGUGUACAUUUCGCAUGUUUUGCGCACCAAAGAUUUAUCGGUAAGGGAUGGGGAUGCGCUCCAUUAGGUUGUAGGUAGGGUAAUGGCCUACCUAGCCUAUGAUGGAUAGGGGUUCUGAGAGGAAGGUCCCCCACAUUGGAACUGCGACACGGUCCAAACUCCUACGGGAGGCAGCAGUGAGGAAUAUUGGUCAAUGGCCGGAAGGCUGAACCAGCCAAGUAGCGUGCAGGAUGACUGCCUUAUGGGUUGUAAACUGCUUUUUUACGGGAAUAAUUAUGAUCACGUGUGAUUAUUUGCAUGUACCGUAAGAAUAAGGAUCGGCUAACUCCGUGCCAGCAGCCGCGGUAAUACGGAGGAUCCUAGUGUUAUCCGGAUUUAUUGGGUUUAAAGGGAGCGUAGGCGGGAGGUCAAGUCAGCUGUGAAAUGUAUCUGCUUAACGGGUACACUGCAGUUGAAACUGGUUUUCUUGAGUGCGUAAGAGGCAGGCGGAAUUCGUUGUGUAGCGGUGAAAUGCUUAGAUAUGACGAGGAACUCCUAUUGCGAAGGCAGCUUGCUGGGUCGUUACUGACGCUGAUGCUCGAAGGUGCGGGGAUCAAACAGGAUUAGAUACCCUGGUAGUCCGCACAGUAAACUAUGGAUACUCUCUGCCGGCGAUACAUUGUCGGUGGCCAAGCGAAAGCGUUAAGUACCCCACCUGGGGAGUACGUUCGCAAGAAUGAAACUCAAAUGAAUUGACGG
rnacentral:rRNA from 1 species